rnacentral:misc_RNA from 1 species
CAACCCUCGACCUCCCUCUGGGGAAGUCGGCGUUGGGGACCGGCAGCACACCGCCGGCCCUGAAAUGGAGUGGCGGCCCGUCCGCGGCGACCUCUGCGUAGUAAUCCAACUCGCACCGGAACCCCGACGCGGCCACGCCGUAAAACACCCAACUUCUGAACG